rnacentral:tRNA from 1 species
GAGUGUAUAGCUCGGUGGUAGAGUGUGUGCCUGGCAUGCAUGAGAUCCUGGGUUCGAUCCCCAGUACCUCCA